UUUAUCAUUUGAUGAAUCAGAUGACAAGGUGGCAUGUAUAGAGCAAUGUAAGUUUGGGUUGGGAAUAUGUGUGUGCAUGAAUAUGUGUGUAGUAUGUUUCAUAA
rnacentral:miRNA from 1 species